GAAUAGCCGCCGGAUUGAACGGGUGUCAUUGAUGUUGACAAUCAUGAAACUUUUGUUUCGCUAUUUU
rnacentral:tRNA from 1 species